GCGGGGGUUGCCCAGCUUGGCCAAAGGCGAUGGGCUUAGGACCCAUUCUCGUAGGAGUUCGUGCGUUCGAAUCGCACCUCCCGCA
rnacentral:tRNA from 2 species